AGGACGAACGCUGGCGGCGCGCUUAACACAUGCAAGUCGAGCGAGAACCAGGGCUUCGGCUCUGGGGACAGCGGCGAACGGGUGAGUAACACGUGGGUAAUCAACCCUCGACAUCGGGAUAGCCCGGGGAAAACCCGGAUUAAUACCGAAUGCUCCGUCUGGCCUUCGGGCCGGCCGGAAAAGGUAGCUUCGGCCUCCGGUCGGGGACGAGCCCGCGGCGGAUUAGCUUGUUGGUGGGGUAAAGGCCCACCAAGGCGACGAUCCGUAGCUGGUCUGAGAGGACGAUCAGCCACACUGGGACUGAGACACGGCCCAGACUCCUACGGGAGGCAGCAGUGGGGAAUCUUGCGCAAUGGGCGAAAGCCUGACGCAGCGACGCCGCGUGAGGGAAGAAGGCCUUGGGUUGUAGACCUCUUUCAGGAGGGACGAAGCCACUCGGGUUAAUAGCCAGAGGGUGACGGUACCUCCAGAAGAAGCCCGGCUAACUACGUGCCAGCAGCCCGGUA
rnacentral:rRNA from 1 species